rnacentral:rRNA from 1 species
GAUGAACGCUGGCGGCGUGCCUAACACAUGCAAGUCGAACGGGUGUGGUAUCAGGGAAAAGGGGUUUACUUCUUUGACCAGAUAACACACUAGUGGCGGACGGGUGAGUAACGCGUGGAUAACCUGCCUUAUACGAGGGGGAUAACAGGGAGAAAUUCUUGCUAAUACCCCAUAGGUAUGUCUGACGCAUGUUGGACAUAUUAAAGCUUUGGCGGUAUAAGAUGGGUCCGCGUCUGAUUAGCUAGUUGGUGGGGUAAAGGCCCACCAAGGCGACGAUCAGUAGCCGGCUUGAGAGAGUGGACGGCCACAUUGGGACUGAGACACGGCCCAAACUCCUACGGGAGGCAGCAGUGGGGAAUAUUGCACAAUGGGGGAAACCCUGAUGCAGCGACGCCGCGUGAAGGAAGAAGGUCUUCGGAUCGUAAACUUCUAUCAGCAGGGAAGAAGGAAGUGACAGUACCUGAGUAAGAAGCCCCGGCUAACUACGUG